rnacentral:rRNA from 1 species
UACGUAGGUGACCAGCGUUGUCCGGAUUUACUGGGCGUAAAGAGCGCGCAGGCGGUCGUUCAAGUCGCGUGUGAAAGCCCCCGGCUCAACUGGGGAGGGUCACGCGAUACUGAUCGACUCGAAGGCAGGAGAGGGUAGUGGAAUUCCCGGUGUAGUGGUGAAAUGCGUAGAUAUCGGGAGGAACACCAGUGGCGAAGGCGGGUCUCUGGGCCGAUACUGACGCUGAGGAGCGAAAGCGUGGGGAGCGAACAGG